rnacentral:rRNA from 1 species
AGUGAACGCUGGCGGUAGGCCUAACACAUGCAAGUCGAACGGCAGCACAGUAAGAGCUUGCUCGUACGGGUGGCGAGUGGCGGACGGGUGAGGAAUACAUCGGAAUCUACUUUUUCGUGGGGGAUAACGUAGGGAAACUUAUGCUAAUACCGCAUACGACCUACGGGUGAAAGCAGGGGAUCUUCGGACCUUGCGCGAUUGCAUGAGCCGAUGUCGGAUUAGCUAGUUGGCGGGGUAAAGGCCCACCAAGGCGACGAUCCGUAGCUGGUCUGAGAGGAUGAUCAGCCACACUGGAACUGAGACACGGUCCAGACUCCUACGGGAGGCAGCAGUGGGGAAUAUUGGACAAAGGGCGCAAGCCUGAUCCAGCAAUACCGCGUGGGUGAAGAAGGCCUUCGGGUUGUAAAGCCCUUUUGUUGGGAAAGAAAAGCAGCGGGUUAAUACCCCGCUGUUCUGACGGUACCCAAAGAAUAAGCACCGGCUAACUUCGUG